CUCAUCCUACAGAAAAUUGGCAACUCUGCUUAUAAAUUACAAUUCCCUAAUCAUGUGAAGAUUCACCCAGUGUUUCAUGUUAGUCAACUAAAGAAACAUAUUAGAUCAUGGUCCAUACCCAGCCCUAAUCUUCAUAUGGUGUAUGCUAAUGGCACAACUAAAACAGGCCCUGUAGGUGUGUUGCAAGUCCGUCAGAUUCCAAGAAACAAUGUCCCUGUAGUACAGUGGUACAUCCAAUGGGAAAAUUUGUCGCCUAAAGAAGCUACAUGGGAGGAUGCAGAUUUCAUAAAGUACUCAUUUCCGGAGUUCUUAAAGGAAACAACCCAAGGAUGGCGCCAAGGUAAUGCAACACCGUGA
rnacentral:rRNA from 1 species